AUUGAACGCUGGCGGAAUGCUUUACACAUGCAAGUCGAACGGUAGAGGGGGCAACCCCUUGAGAGUGGCGAACGGGUGAGUAAUAUAUCGGAACGUGCCCGGUCGUGGGGGAUAACGUAGCGAAAGCUACGCUAAUACCGCAUACGAUCUACGGAUGAAAGCGGGGGAUCGCAAGACCUCGCGCGAUUGGAGCGGCCGAUAUCAGAUUAGGUAGUUGGUGAGGUAAAGGCUCACCAAGCCGACGAUCUGUAGCUGGUCUGAGAGGACGACCAGCCACACUGGGACUGACGACACGGCCCAGACUCCUACAGAGGCAGCAGUGGGGAAUUUUGGGACAAUGGGCGCAAGGCCUGAUCCAGCAAUGCCGCGUGCAGGAUGAAGGCCU
rnacentral:rRNA from 1 species